UGAACGCUAUCGGAUUACUGGGCGUAAGCGUGCGCAGGCGGUUCGUUAAGACAGAUGUGAAAUCCCCGGGCUUAACCUGGGAACUGCAUUUGUGACUGGCGAGCUAGAGUAUGGCAGAGGGGGGUAGAAUUCCACGUGUAGCAGUGAAAUGCGUAGAGAUGUGGAGGAAUACCGAUGGCGAAGGCAGCCCCCUGGGCCAAUACUGACGCUCAUGCACGAAAGCGUGGGGAGCAAACAGGAUUAGAUACCCUGGUAGUCCACGCCCUAAACGAUGUCAACUAGUUGUUGGGUCUUCAUUGACUUAGUAACGUAGCUAACGCGUGAAGUUGACCGCCUGGGGAGUACGGUCGCAAGAUUAAAACUCAAAUGAAAUUGACGGACUCUUUGGCCCGGGAAACACGUGUUUCUCUGGGCGCCAAAAAAUUCUGCAUGCGGUACAUAGCCAUUCUUGAUCUUCUAGAGUUGGAUUCAUUUCAUGGCGGAGGAGAGAGGGACGACCUCUCGAAUGACCGGUCGUUUCCCCCUUGCUUGCAUAUGUCAGCAUCGUGUAGCUUGCUGAUCUCUCGUGUUAGCGAUCUAUUGCCGUGCGCGCGUGCCGAUGCUAUCGCUCGCACGCUCUCGACUAGCUGAUUGUCGGCCCGUUACAUGCUGCUUUCCUAAUUGCUUCUCAUGUAUCCGGACUGAACUGAAAACAAUGCAUAUCCUGAUGGACUGGAGUCGCCUUCUGGCGAACACCAAGCCAAGAAACCCGCGCACCCGCUUGUUCGAUUCAUUGUACAGACUGACUCCGCGGCCAUGCCCUGGUAGUCCGACUGGCUGGCCCAAUAAGAG
rnacentral:rRNA from 1 species